rnacentral:lncRNA from 1 species
CUACGCCCAUGACUGAAAUGCUCCAGGAAAGUUAAUUUCGUGUGCCAUUAAGAAGGUGAUUAGCUACACCUGAUUGUGUUUACAAAUCACUUUUGGGAGGGGGGUGAUCCUUUUUCAAACUCAGAGAUUCUAUUUUUAUUUUCUCAGACCUGUUGAUGUCAUAUCUUUCAUGUGAAUUUUAUUAGUAAAUACAGCUUGAUAAAACAAAACUACAUUUUAUCUAUAAAAUCUUCAUUUUAGGCUGCAAAACAACAAAAUUGCUUAUUUUUUAUACCACUGUAGUUUUCAACCUUGGUUUAAAAAUAGAACAAUGACAAAUACUCUUUUCACACAGUCCACUACAGGAUUAUAGUCACAUUGUUUUGUUUGGCAGCCGCAAUCUUGAUCUUAAAACAGAAAUCAGUAUAAAUGGGAAUGUUUGUCUCUACAAAUUUUUACAUCAACAAUAACUGAUUGUGAAAUCCUGGACAUUGUCAUUCGGCCAAACCAGCCCACUGGUCUCCCCAAUGAAUUCACCUCAUGAGACUCGAGCAGGAACAGCUCUACGGUCGAUCCAGAAGGACACCCAUGACAGCAUGACCAUAAGAGUGGCGGGAAAGUAGGUCUGAAGCAGGAAGAAGAAGAUAUGAUGACGCAGAGUGAAGUUGAUGUAAAGACAAUUGUACCAACCUGCAGGAUAAAUGAAAUAAGAACAGGGUCUGUAGCAGAUUGUCAUGGGCCAGGCGUAGAUACCUCUUCUCACGCUGGAGGAUGCUGGUUUCAGAGCCCGAUGGUUCAUCAUAAGAUCAUUAUGUUCUCCUGAGGUUGUGUUUCAUCUUCCCGCACUGACUGCACAU